rnacentral:lncRNA from 1 species
AACAGUGACAACACAUGAUAAAUGAAUGGGACUAAAACCAUGACAAACUUUAAGAUGUCUGAAAUUCACAUGUCAAAUUUCAAGUCCAUCCAAUUAAGCAUGAGGAUUUCACAAAUCAAAUGAGAACAUGUAUCACAAAAAGUCAACAAAUGACCAAACAGGGGAGAAAAUUCCAAUCAAAUAGGAAAUGCCAUCAAUAAUUCCAGAAAAAUUCACAUGUAUUCG